rnacentral:rRNA from 1 species
GGGCUGUUGGGGCAACCUGGCAGUCAGUGGCGGACGGGUGAGUAAUGCAUCGGAACGUGUCCCGUAGUGGGGGAUAACCCGGCGAAAGCCGGACUAAUACCGCAUAUGCUCUACGGAGGAAAGCGGGGGACCUGAAAGGGCCUCGCGCUAUGGGAGCGGCCGAUGUCCGAUUAGCUUGUUGGUGGGGUAAUGGCCUACCAAGGCGACGAUCGGUAGCUGGUCUGAGAGGAUGAUCAGCCACACUGGGACUGAGACACGGCCCAGACUCCUACGGGAGGCAGCAGUGGGGAAUUUUGGACAAUGGGGGCAACCCUGAUCCAGCCAUGCCGCGUGCGGGAAGAAGGCCUUCGGGUUGUAAACCGCUUUUAGUCGGGAAGAAAAGGCCAAGGUGAAUACCCUUGGUUCUUGACGGUACCGGCGGAAUAAGCACCGGCUAACUACGUGCCAGCAGCCGCGGUAAUACGUAGGGUGCGAGCGUUAAUCGGAAUUACUGGGCGUAAAGCGUGCGCAGGCGGUUCGCUGUGUCCGAUGUGAAAGCCCCGGGCUCAACCUGGGAAUGGCAUGGGAAACUGGCGGACUGGAGUGUGGCAGAGGGGGGUGGAAUUCCGCGUGUAGCAGUGAAAUGCGUAGAGAUGCGGAGGAACACCGAUGGCGAAGGCAGCCCCCUGGGCCAACACUGA